rnacentral:lncRNA from 1 species
GUUCACAUAAAAUAGGGGACCAGGCAAAGACUGAACUGAUAAUAACUCCUCCUUGAAGAAAGUACCUGGAGUUUCCAUAAUUGGUUUUCUUGAUAAAAAUAAGUCUCUUCAAUUUUCCUCCUCACUUGUACUGUCUAUAGCCACCUGCAUUUUCAAUUGAGCCACCAUGUAAUACUUGCUUUCAAACUUAGCCUUUCAAGUGUCUUCUGUCUGAUACCUUGAUCACUCUUACUCUAGUUUAUCUUAUCAAUAAUUAAAGUGUUUCAACCUUUUCAUCCAGCCAAGCCUGCGAAUUACAUUUUCUUGGCGAGGGAGGGGAGAAUUUAAGAUUUGCUUUCAUUUGAGUUUCAUGAAACAGAAAGAACAUUUUUUUCUCCGUAUAACUCUUUGCCACUAGACCAGAAAUAAGAAUGGUCCCAAAUUUAUCCUGGGAGACCUCUAUUCUGUCUCACAUGUACACCCUGC